rnacentral:siRNA from 1 species
UCCAUAGGGAUGUCAUUGCUUCAU